AAGGCGACGAUCCCUAGCUGGUCUGAGAGGAUGACCCGCCACACUGGGACUGAGACACGGCCCAGACUCCUACGGGAGGCAGCAGUGGGGAAUUUUGGACAAUGGGGGAAACCCUGAUCCAGCCAUGCCGCGUGAGUGAAGAAGGCCUUCGGGUUGUAAAGCUCUUUCGGCCGGGAAGAAAUCGCACAGGCUAAUACUCUGUGUGGAUGACGGUACCGGCAUAAGAAGCACCGGCUAACUACGUGCCAGCAGCCGCGGUAAUACGUAGGGUGCGAGCGUUAAUCGGAAUAACUGGGCGUAAAGCGCACGCAGGCGGUUAGAUAAGUCAGAUGUAAAAGCCCCGGGCUCAACCUGGGAACUGCAUCUGAUACUGGCAAGC
rnacentral:rRNA from 1 species